AUCAUCCAUCACUUCCAUCCAUCAUCAGCAAACCGAAAACACCUACUCCCAAAAGACCCAUCUCUAAAAGAAACCAACCAUUAGCUUUCUUCAAAAACACCUCCCCUUUCAACUUCAAUAGUCUGUCCCGCUAUCUCCCUUAAAUGCUCUGUCCAUCUCUAUUCCUCAGCCGCCAUAGCCUCAGCCCCAGGAGGAACCCUAUUCGACAGAUAAGUAGAAACUCCCAUUUUAAUUCCUUUAGUCGCAAUUGCAUGAGCAACUCUGUUAGAAUCCCUGUUUAUGAAACGAAAAACACAGAAAUUGAAGUUUAAACUCUGUUGCUUUGAAUCUUUGAUGAAUGCUGCGAUUUCAAAUCUGUCCUCUUGUUCUUCUUGUAGUUUGUGGAUCACCGUCCGAGAGUCUCAUUCCACUUCCACUUCCACUUCACUCAGUCCAAGUUGUAUACCCAGAUCAAGAGCCUAGAGGCACGCCACCAUCUCAGGCGAAAAAACUGACGGUAUAUUCACAUUUAAGAUAGUACUUGAGAAAAUCACUUCCGCUUUUUCAUUUCUGACUACUGGCCCAGAACACAAUUCUCUUUUAUGUCUGUUGAAAGUGGCAUCGAAGUUUAUUUUAACUCUUGAUCCAAUCGGAGUUGCCCAUCUUACCGUAGGGAUCCUUCUCUCAUGUACAUACAUGUUCAACCCUUCUAAUUCGUUUAAGUAGUUAAGAACAAAUUCUGCAAUUUGGGAUCCCGAUUUCAUUUCCCCCUCAUGAACAAACUUAUUUCUGGAAUUCCAAAUCACCUAUAAUGCACAUGUAAACAAUCGGCGCUUGGAAAUAGAGUGAGAACAAAAAAUAUGUAUUAGAACUUCUUGAAAAUCAGUGUUAACCCCUGAACUAGGCCAACAAAAGUUUAACUUCUCCCACAUUUCUUUUGCAACAGGGCAGUCUCUGAAUAAAUGCUCUAUCGUUUCUGCUCUUGCUUGACACCUUUGACAACUGGAAUAAUUCAUCAACCUCCUAAAAUGUAUGUUACUACUAUUACGAAGAUAGUUACAAGAACAUCCCCACAUUGUAAUUUUGAUUUUACGUUGCAGCUCUAAAUUCCAUAGUUGCUUGUAAAAAUUUUUAUACCUAUUCUAUAUUUGAUUUUGGCCUUCGUGUAAAAGAUACUUGUAUCUAUUACAGACCGAGUAUUCACCAGUCAACUCUCCUCUCCAAAUAGUGAGAUCCUCAUGCGAGCUCAAGGCCAAUGGAAUACAUAAGAUUCUCUCAGCCUCGCUCUCCGUAAAGGUACUAUAAAUCAGGUCCGUAUUCCAUUUCCUUGUAUAAGAAUCAAUCAAAUCUGCUACCUUUAUCAACCCCGGAUUGGGAUUUAAAUUCUGAAAUCUAACUUCCUCAAUUCUAGAGACCCAAGCAUCAUCCCAAAUGGACACUUGCCUACCAUCGCCAAUCUGCCAUCCCAAACCUUUCAUAAGGAGACCCUUUGCAGCCUAAAUGCUCUACCAGGUAAAGGAAGGUAAAUUACCUAACCUAGAGUUUAAAAAAUCGAAGUCCUUAUAAUAUUGUCUUCAAAGUGCGUGCUAGUAAAGAAUUAGGAUUACGUAAUAAACGCCAACCCUGUUUGGCCAAUAACGCAAUAUUAAAAAGGCUAAGACUACAAAAACCCAUACCAUCAUCCUCCUUGAGCUCGCUAAGAUUCUUCCACUCGCAGAAUGUAUCAUUUUCUUCCCACUACCAUUUUGCCACCAAGAGAAGCUCAUUGUUUUUUCUAGUUCAGAACAAAAUGAUUUUGGCAAAAGAAAACAUGCCAUUGAAAAGGUAGGAAUUGCUUGUAAAACAGCUUUUAUAAAAACCUCUUUACCGCAUUGAGAAAUAAAUCUUAUGCUCCAGCUGUUAAUCUUCUAUUUCAACCUAUCCUUCAGGUUUUGAAAAGCCCACCUUUUUUUUCCUUCCUAUCCUAUUUGGAAGUCCCAAAUACUUCUCCAUAUCAUUUGAACACCUCACAUUCAGACCAUGCAAGACCAUAUCAUUUGAACACCUCACAUUCAGACCAUGCAAGACCAAGUUUUUCCCCUGAUCAAUCACAUUUGUGCUAAAAAAAUAGUGGAUUUUUCAAAAUUGACGUAUGCCUUGAACAAGUGUCAUAUUACUAGAAAAUUUCUCUAAAUGCAUUUAUCUCCCUGUUAGACACCUCACCAAAAAGGAUACAAUCAUCUGCAAAUAUAAGAUAAGUAAUUGUUAGAAAAGAUCUACCUUUCCUAAUUUGCCAAUCUCAUAAGUGCCGACAAACCUUCUCCACAGAAUAGAAACAAAUAAGGGCUUAACGGGUCAUCUUGGUGCAAUCCCCUUGUUGCCUUAAAAAUUGAGCCCUCUUCCCCAUUAAUUAAAAUAGAGUAUUUAACAGAAUUAAUACAACGGAAAAUAACAUCCAUAAAUACUUCUGUACAACUCAUUUUUGUCAUUACCCCUUUGAUAAAAGACCAUUUCACUCUAUCAUAGGCCUUACUCUUGUCAAGUUUCAAAGCCAUAAACCUUUUUCUACCAGCUCUUUUAUUUUUCAAAAAAUUAAGUACCUCGUAUGCCAGCAACACAUUGUCCGUGACGAGUCUUCCAAGUACAAACGCGCUCUAAGCCUCAUCAAUACAACCAUCCAGCACCUCUUGUAAACAAUUUUCCACUGUCUUAGCGAUGAUUUUAUAAAUCACCGUACACAGACUUAUGGGACGAAAAUUUUUCAAGUUCAAAGGAUUAACAGUUUUUGGGAUCAGCACUAUUUACGUCCUAUUAAUAUCUUCCAGCGAACAACCUUCAUUCAAGAUAUUCAAGCAGAAUUCAUUAGUGUCCUUACCAAUAAUACUCCAAAAUUUCUGGUAAAAUAUUGCUGGAAAAUCGUCAAGCCCAGACGCCUUUGUAGGCCUCAUACCUUUCAACACCUUCACGAUCUCUUCCUCUGAAUAAGGAGCCAGCAACCUCUGGUUCAUACUAUCAGAAAUACAUGAAUGAACCCCUGAAAGGACAUGCUCCAAAUUUCCAACACCUCUAGACCCGAAUAACUGUGAAAAAUAAUCCUGAGCAAUAUUCUUGAUGUCCUUCCCCUCCAUAGUAAUAGAAUCAUCAAUUCUUUGUAAACCACGAAUUCGAUUGGUACAUCAUCUCUGAAAGGCAUGUUUGUGGAAAAAAACGGUAUUUUUAUCUCCCAUUUUUAACCAGUUAACUCUUGUCCGUUGCUCACAAUACCUUUCUUCCUUGUCCAUCUCCAUAUUCAAAUGUAAUUUCACCUCUAUGAGUUCUUCCAAAUUCCCUUCCGACCUAUCCUCGUAAUUUAAUUCCUCCAGUCUUCUGCUCAAUCGUUGCACUUCUCUCGUUCUCUUAUGUUUUAUCCUUCUCGCCCAAUCCUUCAACCCCAAAGCCAAAAUUGACAUGCGAUUAAGGAAAGAACCAGAACUUACAUUCCAUAGCUUCCUAAUCAUUUCCUCAUACGACUCUUCAAGAACCCACCAAGCUUCAAACCAGAAUCUAGCUUGUCCUUUAUUCAACUCUCCCUUAUUCGUCUCAAUGAGCAAGGGACAAUGAUUCGAUAAAGAGCGAGGAAGAUGCCUUAAAGAAUAUGUUAGGAAAAGUUGGAGCCAGCCAUCAGUAGCAACUCCACUGUCGAGUCUUUCCCUAAUAUUCUGGUCCAUUAUUCGACCUCUUUCCCAAGUAAACCAAAGCCUAGAAAAACCAAUAUCCACCAAUUGGCAAGCAUCUAAUGUUCGACGGAAAGCCUCCAUUCGAUCCUCCUCCCUAGGUAAACCCCACUUUUUUUCAUGAGUAAAAAGAAUAUCAUUAAAAUCACCACCUACAAUCCAAGGAAGCGAAUUAUUUCUCCCCAAAAUUUUGAGUAAUUCCCACGUCUUCGCCUUAUAUCUUACAUCUAAGGCUCCAUAAAAACCCAUAAAACGCCACUGAGGACAGCUCCUCUUGGUUUUCCACAUCAAUGUGGACUUUUGAGAAACUUUUUAAGGCGACUAAUUGUCCUCUAUUCCACCCAAUACUUAAUGCCCCUCGAGAACCAUCUGCAGGGACAUCAACUCUAUAACAAAACCCACACCGUCUUUUAACACCCUCCAUACUACUAGCAUCUAAUUUAGUCUCCAUAAAGAAAACAAUUUGGGGAUGAUGAAGUUUCACCAUAUGCUGAAAUCUUCUAACUGCUCGUAGACUCUCCAAUCCACGAACAUUCCAGCAAUAAAUUUUCAUUUCUUUUGGUCGGCAUGCUCCAUGGCAGCCACCGAUAUCUGUUGUUUAUGAGCUAAAAUCCCACCAAUAACCUCCAAUGAAUCCUGACCAUUAGAAAUAUUAGAGAUCAAAAAAUCGAACCUCUAUCUUUUUUUUCUUUCCUCAUUAAUUAUUGGAUCCUCUACUAAUUCACAUUCCAUACUUGAUAACUCCACUCCAGCAGUGGUCCCCUUGUCGUCAGAAUAUUUCCUCAAAACACUUCCUUGAACAAAUGUCCCACCAAUUGAAUUUUCCCCUUCCCCACAGUCUAUCCCUCAUUAUUUCCGAAAAUCCCCCUUUUCUGACCAUUAUUCAAGAUGACUAGAAUAUUGCAACCUUCCAAAUUUAUCCCCAAAAGAUUGUGCACAUUAGCCUAUGAUCCACGCGUCUGAUUUUGGCUAGAAUUUUGACCAAAUUGCAUCUCAACAUGAUACUUUCCAAAAUUACUAUCACUUUCCUCCCUCAACCAAAUACUAUUGACAGUGCUAGUUCUCCUCACUAGAGCCCUCAACUUCAGAUCCCAUCCCAACUCUAAUUCCUGCAAACCAGUUUGUAAUCGCAUCAGGCAAAAAUUAUCUCCAUGCCCAAGGUAGCCACAUAAAAAGCAAAACAAAGUUAAUUUCUCAUAUUUAAAUUUUUUAUAAGUGAAUUUUGAGGCAGAAAUCAUAAUUUUUUUCUUCCUUUUCAAAGGACUUCUAACAUCAAUCUGAACACGAAUACGCAUAUAGUUCCUAUAACCAUAAAGAACUUGUUUCGUAUUAUACUCUAAAAAUCGGCCAAGGAAAUUUCCAAACUGCAACGCCAUUGAGUCUUUGAAAAAACUAGGUGGCAAGUCAUGCACCUGAACCCACCAGUCUGAAAAUACUAAUGGCACAGCCAUCGGAUCUUCGUUCUCCUGAAUCCUAUAGAAAAUCAACAGGUGAUUGUUGAAAGUCCAAGGAGCUCCUAUAAUAACCUGAGAAAUAUCAAGCUCGUUAAAAAACUUGAACAAAUAACGCCUCCCCCCCAAAUCCGUUAUUUGCAUCCCCUCCAAAGGAUGCCAAAUAUUUGCCAAAGUAUUCCUCAUGGCUGGGAAAUCCACCACACUAGCCGUAAGAAAACGCCCAACCAAAUAAAAUUUGUAAAUAGUGGACUAUUCACCUACCUCUCCUGGCAAAACGAAAGCAUCUUAUUCCCCAUCUUCUAGACUCAGAUCUGCAAUACCACUUUCCAUCCCCCCCAAUCAGCACCAGAACACAACUUCCUAGAUCGCGAACUAACAUAGAACCAGAUUCAAAAUAAAAGAAAACUAAAACUUGAAAAAGAAAAGAAGAGAAGACUCCAAAUCGUGCCACCAGGCAGACAGAAACGCGCCAGUCGGCAGAAGUUAAAUGACUAUUACUAGUACUGAAUAAAAUAGGGAAAGAAAAAUAUUAAAUUUUUACCUAUUAAAUUAAAAAUAACAUAAAAAUGUAUGUGUACGCUUAAAACAAAUCUAAAUUAAUCAUUUAUAAAUUUAGACAAAUUAAUGUGAAUAAAUCAAAAUUAAGCAAACAAAUGUCAUUUAUAAAUGUAAUCUGAAUUUGAAUUGCAUAUACUUUCCCCUUAAAUAAUAUUUUUUUUAAAAAAUAUUCUAUAAAGAAAUCUCUAACAGUUUAAUUUGAGCAACAAAUAAUGUUUCUUGGUAUAAGUUAGUGGUAAAUGGUUCCCCAUUUUAGGACAAUUGAUAAUUGAUAUAUAAAUAACAAUAACAUAAGCUUUGAAUAAUAAGACAACUUUUACUUUUCAUACACUCCUCCAACAUGUCUUAAAACUGUUUCCACAAAUUGUGCUAUGCAACAUUUGAGUUUUCAUUUUCCAUAUCUGUAAAAUUUGAUUCCAUUAAUUCAUUUAAUCAAAAAUUUAUAAUUGAUUCCACUGGUAUGGAUAUUGUUGUUUUUGUAGAAGGACAUGGGUUGAAGUAUGUUAAAGCACAUUAUCUUCUUAUUUAUGGGUUGGGGAGAGAUUAUGAAUAGUUUUAAAUAUUCUGCAAAAAAAUAUAUAUAUAUAAUCAAAAUUUAUAAUGAAAUUAUAUAAAAAAAUUUGAAAGAAAAAUCUCAACGUUAUUAAGUCCAUAGUUUUGGAUAAAAUAGAAGGCUAACUUGCGGAUUUCCAGCACCUAUAUUGCCGAUAUUAAGCGCACCUCAUUACACUCUCAAAACAGACAACCCACAAUUUUAUCCGGUCUUUCCAAAUGUUAAUUUUUUUAUAUAUUUUAAUUAUAAAAAUAUUUAUAUAAAAAUAAUAUUUAAUUUAAAUAAAAAAAUUAGGAAUAAUUUAAACUACUUGACUCCCCUAGAUGUGGAUUUACUUGCAAAAGCAUACAAUUUGAUUUUAACUUUUUUUAGGUAAACUAAAUUGGUAGUAAUUUUGCUAUUAAUAUUCUUCUUUUUAUCUAUGAAAGAUUAUAAAAUUAUUAUUAAACUAUUUAAAUUUUUUAGUCACUCAACUGUUUGAAUUAUUUUUUAUUUAUCAGUCAAUAAAUUAUUAAUGGGAAGAUAACUUGGCAGUUUUUGAAAUUGGUAUAAUAGAAAUUUUAAUACUCAAUAUUUAUAUUUAUGUCAAUUUAGUUUUGAUUCCAAAAAAUUAACCAUCAACAUUUUAUACAUUAUGUAAUUUGAGUUUUUUUAUUUUAUUUUUGCAACAUUGAGAAUUAAUUUUAACAGAAUGAGAAAAGAUGAAAACUAUUAUCUUGGAUUUUCAGGUGUUUUUAUUUUUGAUAUAUUUUCAAUCGAAUUAAUUGAUAGAUUUACUUUUUUAGCUUCUUAAGUAAAAUAGUCACAAAAUUAAAAAAAGAUUAAGAGCAAAUUACAUAAUGUGUAACCGUUGGGGGUUAAUUUUUUUCGAAUCAAGACUAAAUUGAUACAACGCAUAAAUAUUGAGGGUUAAAAUUAUUUUUAUAUCAAUUUUAAAAGUUACUAUGUCUUCUUCCUCUCAAAUCGAUUAGAUGAUUAUAAUUUAGUGAAUAAAAUAAAAAGUUAAUUACAAAUGUUACCUUUUAUAUUUAUAGUGGCAAAUUGAUGGAAAAUAAGUUAUUGAGUACAGAAUUAAUUGUGAAUUAACAUUAUUGAUAUUAUUGUGUACGUUAUAAUUUUAGUACUAAUAAUAAAAAAUUAAAAAAAGACCAUUCUCAAAGUUUUAGAUUUUAGGUAUUCCACGGAAAAUUUAUAUAUUUAAAAAUGGAUGAUGUGAAAUUUUAAUUAAAGUUUUCUGGACCAUUCUCUUAAUUAAAAUAUAAAAUUACAUAUAAGUAAUAUAUUAUACCAUAUCACUUUUUAUAAAUUAUUUUUUUCUUACAUAUUUAUUUUAUUGUUUAUGUUCAAAACUUAUAUCCGUUAAUAAUUUGUGACCCGUUUUUUUUCUUUUAAAUUAAUUUUUUAAAUUUAUCUUUAAACUUCUUAAUAUCCAUAAGAAACCAUUCCAAAUAAAUCUAACAAUUCAUGUAUCAUAUAAAGUUUGAAAGGUUGUUUAGUUAUUUUCUCACAUCAUAGGAAUAAACCAUUGCCUACUCAAUUGAGUUGAUCAGCAAGUUCAUAAAGCAAAACUACACACACACAUGCCAGAAACUAAAAGAAAGGGGCAAUUAAGAAUUCACAGUGUGGACACAAUCAAAAGGACCAAAUUUCUUGGAGGGUGAUUCUACCAUAAGGCUAAAAGAUUCAUAUCCUCAAACCAUGCCGAUUAAUGCUACUUACAACUCCAACAUAAUCUUUAUACCUUGUUAUGAUCCAACUUUGGAUACAUCUUUGGUGGACCGGUUGUAUUUCAUGUGACUCUGAACAAGCUGACCACUGGCUAUUGCAGCCAUUAAGGAAAGUUCCCCCGCCAGGACGGAGCCGGCCACGAUCUUUGCCAAGAGCCUUAAGUUUGCGCCUGGUAGUUCUUUAGUAGCCCCCUUUACUCCAAGCAAAUCCAGGCAUGCAGACUGUGAUGCAAGUUGAGUUCCGCCCCCUAUGGUUCCGACCUCAAUGGAAGGCAUAGUCAUAGAUAUGUGAAGAUCUUUCUCAUCAUUGACAGCUUCCAUUAUGGUAAUGUAAUGGGAGCUUUCGACAUUUUGGGCCGGGUCUUGUCCGGUUGCUAUGAAUAUAGCAGAGACGAUAUUGCUUGCGUGGGCAUUAAAUCCACCGAGAGCACUGGCGACAACCGAAUCGGCUAGGUUCUUCAGCAUGUUGAGCUCUACGAGUGUAACGACAUUGGUUCAGAAAACCUUCUUCAGUACUUCUUCUUUGAUAACUGCUUCACAAAUCACACAUCGCCAAUUUCCCUCGCCCUUCAAUCCAGUUAAUAUCGGCAAGUUUCUUGUCGAAACAAAAGUUUCCUAGCAAACAAACAAAUGAAAAAUCAACUCUAAGCAUACAAAGUUUGGCACCAUGAUAAUACCGGAUUGAAUUACCAUUGAUGAAACUUAGAACUGUAUGCAUAUGAGAAUCGAACUUUACUAGAGAUACUGAUAAUAUCCAUGUCCGAAUACUUAUUUUGAAGGUAUGCAAGGACGUUCUCGACUCCCUUUGAAACCAUGCUUAUCCCCAUGGCACCCCUGUGGUGCAGCUAAAUCUCGUAUAGAGAUUUUUACCAGAAAUGGAACAUUGGACACCCUGAAGUCUUGCAAAGUUACUUGACCUGGCAAACAGAGCAACAUACAUCACUUCUUCUAUGAACGCAUACGAAAUCAAUACCUAAGCAAAGAAAACAAGAAUGGGUGAAUAGAUUUAAGUUUUGUUUACGUUACUUAUUGAAUUCGUCGGCCAAUGUCUGAAAAUUUGAAGGAUUGUCGAGGAAAAACUUGAGAUGGCAAGCUCUAGAAGCUGAAGGGAACCGAACGACUGGAGCUCUGGUCAUACCGUCCCUCAGAAUAGUGCUGGUGGCACCACCAGAUGCAUAAAUACCCUUAAAUCCUCUAUUGGUGCUUGCAACAAUGCAGCCCUCAGUGGUAGCCGUUGGCACAAUGUACUCGAAACCAUCGAGGAGCAAUGGCCCCGCAAUCCCCAAAGGAAUCUGAACGUAUCCUAUUGGCAUUUCGCAGCACUGCUUCAAAAUAGAGCCAUAACCGAAGCCAUCCAAAGGUAAGCCUUGCAACGACCUCCUAGUAAUCCUAUGCAACGCCUCUUCGAAUUCGAACCGCUCUCUUGGAAUCUCCGACUUGCUCUUCCAGCGCGUAUGAAGGGAUUGUUCCCUUGACAACCAAAUCCACUAUUUCUUCGUCUUCGGCGGAGGAAACCGCCAGAAUUAUAUGGUCGGCGAUAGAAGGAGCGCAAGCCAUCAGUCGGUGACGAUGAUCCUCGCCUUCUUCUUCGUCGACGAGGUCCCAAGCCUCGUUGGAGGCGCGUGCAAUGAACGACUGGACAAAGUCGAUACCGAAGAAACCAAUGAGGUAUAUAAAGGAGGCGAUGAGGGAAAGAAUAGCUGCCAGUUCGGAGAAAGUGACGACGUGAAGGGGAACGGAGUUACGGAUCUUGUCCCGAGGAGGUAGUACGCCACCGAGAAGAAAAGCGUGAAGAAAAGAGCGUUAGUGAAGUAAAAAGGGAGCGGGAGAGCAUCCGAUGCCUUGGCGCCAGUAGGUUUCGGUACGGAUGACGGCUCCUUCGGAGCUGGUCGAAGUGCUUUAGAAGGUCGCCGUCGAACGUCCAUUAAAAAAUCUCUGACGAAAUAGACAGUACGGACAGGAGUAGUAGUAGGUGAGAUAAUGGUGGACGACAGAGAGGAAAUUGCCUAAAGGAAUUGAAGCGAUAAUUAAGGACCAAAUGGGGAGGACUGUGUUUUUUUUUUCUCUAAUGUUAAUGUAUUGCUGAACCUCUACUUGACUUUAGUUAUUAAUUAAAUCCAUAAAAUUGAUGAUAAUAGUUCUUUAAAUAGGGAGGAAAACGCACUUAAAUUCAGUUUUCUUUAUUUUUUCAAUAAUAAUAAUAAUGCUACAAAUUUAACUUCAUGCUUAUGCAUGUUCCUUCCAUUUGUAUGAUUUAAAGUGAUUAGUUUUCAGUUUUCUUCCAUUUACUCUAUUUUGGGAUAAUAUCAUAAAUGGUAUUCCUACUUUAAUUCAAUAUACAAUGAGAUGUCGGUGUGUAAAUUUAUACAUUAAUUCCUAAGUUUUUUUCCUUUGUUCCAUUUUUAAUUGAAUCUCUUCGGCAAGCGAAACCUACUCUAUCCUUGGAAGAAGGAAAUGAAUUGCACAAAAGUGUCAAGAAAAUUAAGAAAGAGCUUAAUCUGUAAUUUGAGAGAGUUUAGACAAUCAUGUUAGACUUGAAAAUGGGUUUGGCUAAAAUUUAUAUUCAUUUAAAAUAUAAACCAGGCUUGGACUCAAGCAUUCAAGGCCCAAGCCCAGUUCAAUCUGUUUUUUAAGUUUGUAAUAUAUUAUAGGGAUAAAUUUUAAAAUUAUACAUAAAAUUUGACCUAAUGUGCAAUUUUAUACAUUAAAUUUUGAUUUGAUCCAAUUCUCAAAAAUUGUAACACAAUUAUUAAUAUAGCAUCAGGAAAAUUCUAGCAUAAUCUCUUACAAAAGAGCUAAUAAAAAAAGCUAGAGGUAAGCUUCAUAGAAAAAUAGCUAUUGGAUUUAAAAAGUUUAAACCUAAACCAUUGAAAGGGGGAAGAGAAAUCAAAAGGUUUUUUGUUUUUGUUUUUUGAAAAAAUGGAAGGAACCAAAUAAGAUUUCCGAAAAAAAGGGAAAUGAAACGUUUUUACUGUCCAUCGUGCUUUAUUGUUGAAGGCUGUAGGCUAGAGGCAGUGCUCACUGGAUAAGAAAGGAAACUAAGAAGUAGAGAAAUAAAAAAAAGGGAAACAGUUUAUUUAAACAAGGAUGGAAAUAAGGUUUUUUUAAAAAGAUUUGCUUUUAUAGCCACGAUAAAGGGGAAAACUGCAAUUAAGUCCUCUUACAUGUUUAACAACUGUAAACAUGGGGCACUGUAAGUGAUAUUUACAAUUUUAGCCUCUCUUACUUUUUUUUUUGAAAUUUUGAGGCAAAUUAAUUACCAAUUAAGUCCCCAUGUUUCUUACAUUUUUUCAAUUUCAAACUUAAAUCCCUCCUUUGUUUAUUUUGUUUUAUUUGAUUUGAUUUUUCUUUAUUAUUAUAGUUAUUUUUAUUAUUACUAUUAUUAUCAUUAGUAUUUAUUGGAGUUUUUGACACAGCUCAUUCCAUGUUCAGUUACAACAAGUAUGAAUUUAUGCUUGCACCCUGGGAAGUUUUCCAGCCUCCUUGAUGUUUUGAUGUUUAUGACCUACAAAGUUGUGGCAUGUUUGACAAAAAAAAACAAUUGGUGUUUGGCUAGGACUUUUUAAUUCUUCAACCGAUCCUAUUGAUGCGGCCAUGAGUUUAUUGGAUAAGGUUUGAGUUCUUAUCUAUAUCACCUUAGUUGAAUGAAGAGUUGUUUAAGGGAUUUUUAUUAGAUUUUCCCAAGGGAUUUUUUAAAGGAAUUACCUAUUGUCUUAGGGGAGAUUAUCUUGUGAUCUCAAGUUGCUAUUUGACACAAAUAGGUGUCACUUUCCC
rnacentral:lncRNA from 1 species